CUGGAUGCGGGACAGAUUUAUGCACACCCAAACGGCCUGGGUCGUUCUUUCUUUCGAAUCAUGUAUAGAUCAGCUCAACUGAUUGAAAAAUCGAGAAGCUGAUACUAACGGAGCGAAAGCAGCAAAUUAAUCAUCGGUGACCUAGAACGACGGCCAAUUUUGCAGGAAAUAUGACGCGGUUGUUCAGUAUUCCCAUCGUGUGCGGAUUAUCUUCGUGAACCAACUUACCUCAUGCAGAGCGAUGGAUUUUCGAUACCCUGCUCAGAGAAUCCUUCUAGGCCUGGAACACAGGAGUAGAUACUUCAUGCAGAACAUCUAAUAAGGUAACUGGAAUAUACUCAGGUUACAGUAAUUCUGCUGGAACUAAAUCCUGCAGCAAAUUUCUGCCUCACCUUAGGAUUGGUUAAUAUUAGUUCUACUUGUCUGAGCACUAUCACUUGUAGUGCUGAGUUCUUUCUAUUUGCAAUAAUUAUCUUUGCGCGUUCAUAAGAAAGAAUGAUUAGACUGAAUUUAUCAAAUACAGCAACCUGCGCAUUCUGCCGUCCUUAAUGUGUUAAAAUAUGCUGAUGAUUGUUAUUUUCGAAGAAGUCAAAUGAAAAACAUUUCUGCUGCCAAAUGCUGUACCUACCCCUUUUUCUUUUUAGUCUUUCCAACUCCAUUGGUGAUGUAAUUAAUAAUAUUUCCAAAGGGCAGACUUUAUUGUAGCCUCCAAAACCUUUGGAAGACCUCUACAGUUUUCUCCACUGAGUUGUUAAAAAUAGUCAAGUUUAAUACUAUAUUACAGAGCAUGUUAUCGUUUGCUGUGCUAGGCUGUGGUGCACGGGCGAAUGUAUAGAUGCCAAUUAUACUAUUUACAACUUGCUGAAAAGCAGCUUGAUAGUGAUUUUGGCAGGAUAACAGUGAGAUUCCCUUUGCCUUUAGAAUCUAGAAUCUUUUUUGUCAAAUGAUUAUUGUAUACAUUCUGAUUUUUAUAUGGAAUAACAUUGUAGAGAGCCUUUAAAAGAUCGCACGCCUGUUGUUGCAGUGUAUUUAAAUUAAGAAUAUGGAUACCUGAAAAAUAUGAACAGAAAACUAGCAGAUAAUAGUUUUCUGGUGAAGCAAUAGAUGCUUAAACCAAUUCAGCCAUUAACUCUCAAUCUGGAAAGCUGGAAAAGUGGAGUCAAUAUUCAUCGCAACCAAUCAUUUUUCUUUUAUUUUUCUUCUUUUUCUGGCAAUGCCUCCUUUUUUUUGGUGGCCAAAUCUAGCAGAUGCUUCUUUACUUCUAAUAAUAAAAAUUUGUGGGUUCAAGAGGCAUGACUGCGAACAUUUAGAUUUCCACAACCAAAUUUUCUUUCGAUAAUUCCUAGCCACCCUGUGGAUGACAUGACUUAAGUCUCUUUGGAUAUGAAAACAUGAUUUACCUAGAAAUGUUAAAUGGUUAAACUAUUGCUUGGAGUCCCAUUUCCACACGAAUAAGUCAUAUAUAAAACCAAAGUCCUGCAAUCAACAUAUACUUAGAUUUUCUGAAAGAAAUGCAAGAUUUACAUACCUACAUUCUAAUCCCAAAGGGGUCCUUCUGAUAUUAUGAAGCAAAGAUUUCUUGGUUUCCUGUAAAAGGAAUGCAGGUAGCAACACGUUAUGCUUGACAGUGGAGACUUGAGUAAAAACUGCAGUGAUUCAAAUUGAAUUGAGUUUUAGGCAUUGAAAUGGUUGGUGCGCUAUGACUAUAUUUUUCCUCAGUAUAAUCUCCUUUCCCUAUCCAGCAAGAAUAACUUCUCUGAACAAGGUGUGCUAUGUUAACUGUCAUUUACAUUUGAAUUUUGACGUACACGAUACAGUAUCAGUGUAUCACAGACCUGGGAGCAUCUUCAACAUAAAAAAAAUGGACAUCUUCCUCUGAUGCCACCGACCAUUUCCCACUACUUAAUCUACCUGUAUCAUAUAUGUUUUACAAUAAGUGGGGUACAGUCCAAGGUAGCCCCGCAUUUCAAUGAGAAUAAGGAAGCAGUCAGGACCCACUUUUUUUAUUUGCCGGAGUGGUAUAAGUUUUGCAUAAGUAUACCUGAACAAAGUGACCUUCCAUCGGAGAUGCUUUAAGGGUCGUUUUAUUGACUGAAUAUUUGCAAGAAGUGCCUAGUGGUCCAUGCUUUAACCAUUUUUGGGCGCGGCCCUUUUAUUUCUGAAGUCUUGUGCAGUAAGACUUGUUAGUCGUUACACACCAUGUACACUUCUGAAGUUUGGAAAUCCGUUUGUUUUACCAUAUUAUCUGAUUAAUAAAUAUUAAACUACAUUGUUUUUUUAUUCGGUAAGUACUUAAAUACAUUGUUACAUGUAAUAUCUGUUGAGUUCUUGCAUGCACUCGUAAACAAAUGAUGAAUGCUUAGAUAUGUCUGAAAAAUUUUGUCAGAACUUGAGUCUGAUAAUGAGAUUAAUCUUGACGAAUGCAAAGCUGCUGUACAUUAUUGAAGUUAUGCUACCUUGAUUACAUAUGAAUAAUAAUGUAUGGCUAGGUAGUAUGCAUGAAAUUGCUUCUGCAGACUCUGUACACCAAUAUACCUGACAGUACACAUCUCACACACAUUACACAUUCCGAACCUGUAUAUGCGCAUGGAAAAAAUUAUCAUAUUAUAAUACUAGCAUUUUAAAGUUUUUCUGUAGUAACAGACCCUAUGAAGUUCCUUUACCUUGCAACUCAAAAAUUUUCACUCGCAUUUGCGCUUGUAAAUUAUAUGUAUGGAAUGAUCAAAGAAUUUUAGAAUUUAGCAUGUUUAUCUAUAUGUGAAGGUUUUGCUGGUUAUAUGAAUAAGUUGUGGCGGUUGGCCAUCAGUGGCUGAUGUUAAAUUCUUCUUCGUAUCUAUAUUUGUAUGUUGUCACACUGUAGAGCUUAGUUCUUGUAUUGAACUUUUUGAGACUGCAAGGAGAUCAGUAAUAAGUUUAAACAAUACUGAUACAUCUGUAAUAUUGAAUCUUUUGAUAGGAAACCUAUACAAGAUUCUUUUCCCUAAAUAUACAUAUUGAAAAGUUUAUUAGAUGGUGAUACACAAACAAUAAUAGUACGUACAAAUGUUCAAGCCACAAUUUAGCACAAUGAUGCGAUGCACAAGUGAAUAAUAUAGACAUGUAAGACGAAAGGAAUGUCGUAACCCUAAGUAUGAAUUGAAUGUCCGACUCCAGGGCUGUGACCUGGUGAUGUGGGUCUGAAGUCAGUCGUCGCGUGAUCUGGUGGUGGCGGUGCAAGAGUGCUGCCAACAGACGGACUUGGUGGUGUUUGAACGGUAACUGUUGAUGCAGUAUCUUGAUUACCAUAUACAGUUUUCGAGACAGUCUUACCUGUGACAUUUUGGAUGUCCUUUUCAGGGACUUUGAAGUGAGACUGAAGUUUCUUGGUAUCACCUUUCAUUUUGGAUCCCAAAUGCCGACCUUCUGCUGACCGAAUCUCAAUUGAGAGAGUCAAUAUGAGGAAAAGACUGGCGAUGAUCAACAGCGUUUGAGCCAUGGAAAAGAACACUGAGGGAGGAAAUGAAGAAGCAAUAGAGGUAAGCGAGAUGUUUGUUGAUUGAUGCUCUUUCAUCUCUUGCAGUCUCAUGUAUUUAUAGAGUUGCAAGACACAGAAAGAGCCAUAAACAUUGGGGCGGCUGAUUACUUUUUCAUUUUCAGAAAGAUUAAAGAUUGCCGCCUAAACCUCUACUUUGAACCAUGUGUUGGGGCUUAAAUUAAAAUUGUUAGAGCAUCUCGGAUAAGACGUUAUAUAAGAUCCUGCAAAACGUUGUGUUUCAAUGUUACAGGCUAUAUUCUAAAAAUGAUAAAUAAUGAUUAUUUCAAGUUGUUAUAAAUAGAAUAUAUUGUUCCAAUAUGGUGAUAGAUGAUGUGGAAUCUUGCUACAAGUAUGUAGAGAUUGGCCAAAUAUAGUCAACAUCAAAUGAUUGGCUGUGGUUAUAGGCAAGGGAUGUCCUAAUGGAGUUUGAUUUUUUUUACAUAAUCUAUAUAUUCUUUAUUUUAUAGCAUGUGUGACUUUUACCUAGGAGUUUCAUAUGGUUGGAAAUGCUCUUAAACUUGCUACCGAGGUUAGUUGGUCUUCUUUAGUUGCCGGUCCUGUAAACCCGUAUAGAUCUACCAUUUUCAUAUUCAAUACUACUUGAUUUCAGAAUCGAUCAAGAAGUUGUUUCUAUUCCUUGCAUGUAUUUACGUGCUUGUAAAAUUAGUGCAAUUGUGCAAAGUAGUAUUCUUGACGCUACAGCAUAGACGGAUAUAAGAAAAACAUGUGGAAUACUGGAUGUCACUCUGCAUAAAUUUUUAUGAGCUGAGGCUUUGGUUGAAGCCAAAUGAUUCAGUCGUUGUCAAAAGAUUGUGUGAACAAGGACCAGUAGGUUGAUUGAUGGACCUCGUAACGAUAGCGAUUGUUCCAAAUUAUUAAAAUAGACUACUGCUUCAUACAAAAGUUAUUCGAUCGUCUUAUAUUCAUCAACGAACACUAGUUCAUUUUUUAUAACUCAUCACCUAAUCACCUUUACUCUUGAAUCUGUUACCCCAAGAAUUACUGUUCUUUAGAUCAUAAUGCAUAAACAUACAACGGGUUAAUGUUCUAUUUCAUCACUCUGCUGGAUCAAAAUUUUGAGUUAGCCUACCGAGUCAAAAAAGUUUUAAUUUAAAUAAUAUAGCAUCUAAAAACUUUCAAUCACAAGAUUAAACUUAAAAAACAUUUCACCACCGUUAAACAUGUCUUGGACUUUAACGGAUACGUUA